UGGGGAAUUUUGGACAAUGGGCGAAAGCCUGAUCCAGCAAUGCCGCGUGUGUGAAGAAGGCCUUCGGGUUGUAAAGCACUUUUGUCCGGAAAGAAAUCCUUGGCUCUAAUACAGUCGGGGGAUGACGGUACCGGAAGAAUAAGCACCGGCUAACUACGUGCCAGCAGCCGCGGUAAUACGUAGGGUGCAAGCGUUAAUCGGAAUUACUGGGCGUAAAGCGUGCGCAGGCGGUUUGCUAAGACCGAUGUGAAAUCCCCGGGCUCAACCUGGGAACUGCAUUGGUGACUGGCAGGCUAGAGUAUGGCAGAGGGGGGUAGAAUUCCACGUGUAGCAGUGAAAUGCGUAGAGAUGUGGAGGAAUACCGAUGACGAAGGCAGCCCCCUGGGCCAAUACUGACGCUCAUGCACGAAAGCGUGGGGAGCAAACAGGAUUAGAUACCCUGGUAGUCCACGCCCUAAACGAUGUCAACUAGUUGUUGGGGAUUCAUUUCCUUAGUAACGUAGCUAACGCGUGAAGUUGACCGCCUGGGGAGUACGGUCGCAAGAUUAAAACUUAAAUGAAUUGACGGGGUCAUAGCUG
rnacentral:rRNA from 1 species